AAUGAACGUUGGCGGCGUGGAUUAGGCAUGCAAGUCGCGCGGACCAGCAAUGGUUAGCGGCGAAAGGGAGAGUAACGCGUGGGUUAUCUGCCUCUUGGGCCAGGAUAGCUGCGGGAAACUGCAGGUAAUACUGGAUAAUGUCUUCGGACCAAAGGUGUGAUUCCGCCGGGAGAUGAGCCCGCGUCCUAUUAGCUAGUUGGUGAGGUAAUGGCUCACCAAGGCUUAGAUGGGUAGGGGGUGUGAGAGCACGACCCCCCUCACUGGGACUGAGACACUGCCCAGACACCUACGGGUGGCUGCAGUCGAGGAUCUUCGGCAAUGGGCGAAAGCCUGACCGAGCGACGCCGCGUGUGGGAUGAAGGCCUUCGGGUUGUAAACCACUGUCGUAGAGGAGGAAAUUCUGGGGGGUUCUCCCCUCAGUUUGACCUAUUCUAGGAGGAAGUCAGGGCUAAGUUCGUGCCAGCAGCCGCCGUAAUAC
rnacentral:rRNA from 1 species